GCUGGUUGGGUUGAGAGAAGUAAUGCCUUAAGGGUUUUGUCAAGUUUUGGCUCGAUAACGUUUAUAUAUUAUAGGAACCAAACAAGACCAAAGUUAGUGGGCGACAAGCAGAGUAAUGACUACCCGUGGAAGUGUUUUUUUGCCGCCAGCGAUUUCACUUGUGGACAGAGAAAGGGGACACUUGAUCUUAAUGCUGAGAUAUUUCUGCUCAACACAGAAAUUGUUCCGUAAAGGAGGAACCAGUGGAUUUUCAUUCUGGACUGAGUUCCGAAAGUUUGUGGACACUGCAAAGAAGGAUAGUAGACAGGACAAGUGGGAGAAAUUGGAGGAAAAGGAGGAGAGAAGAAUUGAAAAAUAUUUGUCACAACUUUUUAAAUUUAGAUUUUAUAAAUUCAAGUAUUGUUUACUGUAUGUUUAUGUA